rnacentral:rRNA from 1 species
GACGAACGCUGGCGGCGUGCUUAACACAUGCAAGUCGAACGGAAAGGCCCUGCUUUUGUGGGGUGCUCGAGUGGCGAACGGGUGAGUAACACGUGAGUAACCUGCCCUUGACUUUGGGAUAACUUCAGGAAACUGGGGCUAAUACCGGAUAGGAGCUCCUGCUGCAUGGUGGGGGUUGGAAAGUUUCGGCGGUUGGGGAUAGACUCGCGGCUUAUCAGCUUGUUGGUGGGGUAGUGGCUUACCAAGGCUUUGACGGGUAGCCGGCCUGAGAGGGUGACCGGCCACAUUGGGACUGAGAUACGGCCCAGACUCCUACGGGAGGCAGCAGUGGGGAAUAUUGCACAAUGGGCGGAAGCCUGAUGCAGCAACGCCGCGUGCGGGAUGACGGCCUUCGGGUUGUAAACCGCUUUCGCCUGUGACGAAGCGUGAGUGAUGGUAAUGGGUAAAGAAGCACCGGCUAACUACGUG